AUUGUAAGACCAAUGACAGCAUCAGAAAGUCCAAGUUUCCUGUUCUUACAAGAUUCUGGGCAGAACCCUAAAAAUCUGCUUCAUUUACACUGAUAUAUUUAUGAACUGUUUUUUAAAAAACAAAAUAAAAAGUGACUUGUGGCAUGAUUAUCUAGGAGAAGAUGGGGGUCAAAGAACCUGGCUAAGUUGCCUUGGUAAGAGGUCUGCUGGAUGGAGGCCUAGCUCUCAAGAUGCUCUGUUUCAGCAUGAGGAACUAGGAUCUGUGGAUGAUCAACUUUAUGCAGCAGAACGUGUUGUCCAACUGUGCGUGCCAUCCAGACUCCAAGUUGGAAGAAGAAAAUCUGAGAUUAUCAAACCACAGAAAAAUGGGAACUGAGAAUUAGAAUGAAUUUGCAACUUUGAAGAAUAAAACAUGAGGGCAACUUUGGACACACCCAAGACCAGAAACAGUUCUGGCAGGAGAACAAAGAACUUCCUGGAAAAAUACAUCUUUUAGGAAUGGACAGUGGGCCGAGUUCCAGCGGCUGUUGUUAAAGUUAGCUUAAAGGCACAGAGGAAGCUGGCUGCUGCUUCAUCUCCACAGUUGGACCCUGCUCCUGCACUGACCCAUGCUGGCUACUAUUAUGUCCUCAACAAAGUACAGGAUACAAAUUUUUUGAUUACGAGUUACUCCUUAGCUCACUCUUGGACAUUCUCCAUGUUCUCUAUUUUGGUAGUUGGCAAACUAUAGCCUGCAAAGAAGUCCAAUCCAGCACAGAGGAUUGAUCUCAUGAAGCUGCCCUGUGCUGCCUCUGCUCCUCAGCGCUCACCUCAUUUGCAGAGGCUGGUAUUUUGCAUUGUCUGAAUUUACCCUUGUUGCAGAAGUGCUGGGAAUCUGGCAGCCAGCUGCUUCAAGGAAGGGAAGGGUAGAGACUUCCAGCCCUCAGUGAUGUCCAGACAAAAGAUUUUUUCAUCCCCGCUCUGUUUCUAAAGAGGGAAAGUUAUUUCUGCAACUGGAUGCUUAAAAUCUUUUUUUUUUAAAUGGCUUUGUGUUUUUGUGUAUCAGUGAUGUUUAAUAUAAAAAGAUACUGUAUUUAUUGUAACAAAUCAAUAAAGCUUAAUAGUAUAAACUGUGCCAACCUAAAAAAA